ensembl:lincRNA Gm13656 predicted gene 13656
UGGAUCCUUCCCAGAAGGCGGAGUGGUUCCAACAACCGAGCUGUCUGGUAGUCACCAGCCUAGAACAUUAUUUUCAGGCCCAAGGAAGCAGUAUCGAGGUUUAAAGCAUAAGCUACUGAAGAGGCUAUUCUGUUAUCUGUGGUGUCUAUGCUGGACACACUGGCAUGCCCAGCCUGCACUUCCAGACCCAUCACUUUACCCCCCCCCCCCCAACACAGCCAGCUCUGUGUCUUUAGAUGUUCUUAGACCCAGUCAAUGGUGGACUUGUACAAGCGUUUGGAGGGCAGAAAACCAGAAGUCUAGAAUACUGUCAUGUGUAUCCAUUAAAAUGCUCAUGGUUAAGCCA